CUCAGUCCGCGCCUGCGCACUCGGUCCUCGGCGUUUGUGCCUGUGCGCCCGGCAGUUCCUAAAAGAGCGGUUGUGAGGUCUCUAAGUUUCUUUCUGGGUUCUGGUCUUUUGUGGGGUUUUUGCAGAAAUAAGUGCGUGAGAACGUCCGUUAUUAAACUAUUGCUGCUUCAAGUGAGCGCCAUCACCCAAGUUCUGCCCUGGACCCCGCACCUAGGAGCUGAAAUUGCCCCAGGCUGCGGGGACAGCCCUUUUGUAGAAGGUUUGGGUCCUGGAAGCAUUCCUCAAAGGGGGAUGCCAACGUAAUAAUUCCAACUAUGUUCUCAACCAUUCCUGCAAAGUAGAAUCAGCUGGGGAGUUUUACACUUGCUCUGAUGCCUGGGUUUCACCUGCAAGAGUAGGAAGUGUCAGAAGACAAAAUUACAAGUUUAGUUUAAAGGUCUAAGUGGCGGCGGCGCGCGGUGUCUCACGCCUGUAUUCCCAGCAUUUUGGGAGGCCGAGGCGGGAGGAUCAUUUGAAGUCACGAAUUCUAGACCAGCCUGACCAACAUGGCAAAACCGUGUCUCUACUAAAAGUACAAAAAAAUUAGCUGGGCAUGGUGGCGCGUGCCUGUAGUCCCAGCUACUUGGGAGGCUGAGGCAGGAGAAUCGCUUGAACCCAGGAGGCAGAGGUUACAGUGAGCUGAGAUCAUGCCACUGCACUCCAGGCUGGGCAACAGAACGAAACUCUUGUCUUUAAAAAAAAAAAAGAAAAUCUAACUGGCUUAUAUUUGGGAUCUAGAAUGGGGAAACAUCAUUCUAUAAAGCAAAUAGAGUGUGUUCCAAUGAGCUGCGCAGAGGAGGUUGGCUUAAUGGGCAAAAAAAGGCUGAAGAACACAACAAACAACUAAGGUCUGGUGGUUUUCUGUUUGGUCUUCCUGCUGAAGCAAGGUCUGCACCUAUGUCAGUCCCUGUCUGUGUCUGGAUGGUUCACUGUUCAAAUCUUCAGGCUCACAUAAAAGGAGAAAGGAGAGAACAGAUACAUUUUAGAUGCCUUCAAAGCCGUGGGAUAGGGGUGAACAUGGAAAGCACCGAGAAGUCCUAAGAAGCCAGUGCUUGGAAAUUAGAAAGAGGAAGAGAAACUCACAGAUGACACUGAGGCUGAGAAGGAGCAGCCCAUCAAGUGCUAUAGGAGACUCUGAGUGUGAAAAACCCAAAGGUUAAGUUUUUUUUUUCUAUUCUCUUAUCAAAAAUAAUCAACACAGAAGAAUUCUGUGACCCAGUAUGUGAGGAUUUCUUCCUACCAACAAGCAUGGAAUCAACUCUGCAGCAGUUAUCAGCGGGUCAUGUUCCAACCCAACUCCAUUCUGACCAUGUCUAUCUGGAGGUAGCAUCAGAUCCCACAGGUUGAGGGCUCCGUCCACAAGCCUGCCCCUUGUUUUCGAUGUCUAUCAAAAGCCCAGGUUGGGGUGGGGCCGAGUCACCCAUCUAAUCCUGCUGUGGUCUUUCAGGUGAUCAGCCCCCUUCCUGAAGCUACGUAGGGGCCGACAGCCAUUGGUCAACUCAUGAGCAUCCAAAAAGAUAUCACUUUGGAGACUCCAGGGAUUUUAGGAUUUAUAUACCAGGAAGUGGGACAAAGACCAAAUACAUGCUUCACAAUAGCACAGAGACCAAAAGUGCGGGUGUCCUAAAGACCCAGAGAAGAAAGUCUUUGGAGGAGGCAACAGCCAUCAAGACUGGGACACUGACCCCUGGAUUUAGCAACGGACAGGUCUGGGUAUCUGGACAAGAGCAGACUGGGAAGAAUGAAGGCAUAGUCAGGGUGGGUUUAUGGCAUGAUAGAAGGAGAUGCAGUGGAGUGGGCAGCUGUCAGUCAUAACUAACCUCAGGAAUGCAGCCGAGGGAAGCAAAGAAAGAUGCAGCAGUGGGAAGAGGUCACAAGAUUGGGAGGGUUUGUUGUUACUGUACUGUCAUUAUUGCUGUGAGGAAGAGGGCGAUUGCUGUCCAUUUAUUCAGCAGGGAGGGAGAAGCCAAUGGCAGGACAGAUUGAAGGAUGUUGUCCUGGAAACAGAGAGGCAGGCCAACUGGGGAUUUCACAGGGUGAUGUGCAGGACUUCUGAUGCUUCUUUUUUUCUUAGGGAAAUUCAGAAUAAGGACAAGAUCUGACAGUGAAGGAUGGAAGGGUCUCUCUGUGUGUCCCGCAGGACCUACCCUACUCCUCCAGCCCCGGGAAGCCAAACCUUGCCACGACCCCUCCUCCUUCAGGACUGUUUCUUUGCUUCUCCCUUUCCUGAAAGUCAAGUCUUUAUGGGUUGAGUCUUUACCAGUUGGUAAUUUCCAGAAAGUCCCCUUCUUGCUGAUGCCCUUUGCAAAUUGCUACUGUCUACUUUAUGUGUUAACAGGAUUGAUGCUUGAUGUGUCAAAUCUCUUUCUGUCCUGUGCUGUCAUGACACGUCUUUAAAGGAAGACUUCAUUCAACUCAAUAACCCAAAUCAGAAAGUUUUCAUUGAGUGCCAUGAAUGGGCCCCACACUUCUAGCCCAGAGUCCCAGCUAACCGAAGGUGCCCCCACCCAGCACCAUCAGGUCUUUUGUGCAGCACAGGUAAAUGCCCCUGGGAGCAGCAACUGUCACUGACAUUCUCUCCUGCACUUUACCACUCAACCAACACAUGCUCUUGUCACCUGGGUGUCAGGAACAGUCACAGUAGCCCCCAUUGUGCUUGGGAGGUCAUAGCCUUUGAGGCAAAAAAAAAAAGAGAAGAAAGAAAAAUAAAGUUGGAUGUCUUCUUCCCACUUUGCUCCUGGUUGGUUAUUUUGCAGGUAGAAGGCACACUUUAUAUUUUAAAGAAAAGUAAAGCUUUAACUGCUUCCUAUGUUUAAACCUCUAUGACAAAUUUAGUCAGAGAUUUAAAAAGCACCAUUAAAAAAAUAGGCUAUAGAGAUGCGAUCCCUGUCUGUACCUACUUACCACUGCUGGCUGCCGUCCAGAAAACGGGAAACUGUGUCCAAACUACAUUUUUGGAAAAGGCUAUCCUUGAUGAUAUACAAUAUAUCCUUUUGUUCAUUAUUGAGACCCAAAGGUUAAGGCGUUUGAGAAUGCUUCUUUUAAGUAAUUGAGCAAGAAGGAGGGAGAGAAAGAAAGAGAGGAGAAAAUAUAAGAUAAUCUGAUUGAUUAGGGGCAAAAACUUUCUAGAAGCUCUGCAAAGAAAAAAUAUGAAGAUAAUAAAAUAGCUGUUGGAAAAUA